rnacentral:rRNA from 1 species
UACGUAGGGGGCAAGCGUUGUCCGGAUUUAUUGGGCGUAAAGCGCUCGCAGGCGGUCCGAUGAGUCGUGCGUGAAAGACCCCGGCUCAACUGGGGAGGGUCGUGCGAUACGGUCGGACUCGAGGCCAGUAGGGGGACGCGGAAUUCCGGGUGUAGUGGUGGAAUGCGUAGAGAUCCGGAGGAACACCAGCGGCGAAGGCGGCGUCCUGGACUGGUACUGACGCUCAGGAGCGAAAGCGUGGGGAGCGAACAGG